rnacentral:rRNA from 1 species
GAUGAACGCUGGCGGCGUGCCUCAAACAUGCAAGUCGAGCGGGGCUAUGUAAUAUCGCAAGGUAGAACAUAGCCUAGCGGCGAACGGGUGAGUAACACGUGGGUAACCUGCCUGGAAGACAGGGAUAACGAUUCGAAAGGGUCGCUAAUACCUGAUAAUAUCCUUUCAUCGCAUGGUGAUAGGAAGAAAGGGGAAACCCGCUUUCAGAUGGGCCCGCGUCCCAUCAGCUAGUUGGUAAGGUAAAGGCUUACCAAGGCGACGACGGGUAGCCGGUCUGAGAGGAUGUACGGCCACACUGGGACUGAGAUACGGCCCAGACUCCUACGGGAGGCAGCAGUUGGGAAUCUUAGGCAAUGGACGAAAGUCUGACCUAGCGACGCCGCGUGAGGGAAGAAGGCCUUCGGUUGUAAACUCUGUCAUGGGGAAGAAGUAAGUGACGGUACCCAACGAGGAAGCCCCUGCUAACUACGUG